rnacentral:rRNA from 1 species
UACAUGCAAGUCGAGCGGAAACGACUUAACUGAACCUUCGGGGAACGUUAAGGGCGUCGAGCGGCGGACGGGUGAGUAAUGCUUAGGAAUUUGCCCAGUCGAGGGGGAUAACCAUUGGAAACGAUGGCUAAUACCGCAUACGCCCUACGGGGGAAAGAGGGGGAUGCUUCGGCACCUUUCGCGAUUGGAUAAGCCUAAGUGAGAUUAGCUAGUUGGUGAGGUAAAGGCUCACCAAGGCGACGAUCUCUAGCUGGUUUGAGAGGAUGAUCAGCCACACUGGAACUGAGACACGGUCCAGACUCCUACGGGAGGCAGCAGUGGGGAAUAUUGCACAAUGGGCGCAAGCCUGAUGCAGCCAUGCCGCGUGUAUGAAGAAGGCCUUCGGGUUGUAAAGUACUUUCAGCGAGGAGGAAAGGAUGUGAGUUAAUACCUCACAUCUGUGACGUUACUCGCAGAAGAAGCACCGGCUAACUCCGUGCCAGCAGCCGCGGUAAUACGGA